rnacentral:misc_RNA from 1 species
GAAAUGCGAUAAUUAAUGUGAAUUGCAGAAUUCAGUGAAUCAUCGAGUCUUUGAACGCACAUUGCGCCCCCUGGUAUUCCGGGGGGCAUGCCUGUCCGAGCGUCAUUGCUGCCCUCAAGCACGGCUUGUGUGUUGGGUUUCCGUCCCUGGCAACGGGGACGGGCCCAAAAGGCAGUGGCGGCACCAUGUCUGGUCCUCGAGCAUAUGGGGCUUUGUCACCCGCUCCCGUAGGUCCAGCUGGCAGCUAGCCUCGCAACCAAUCUUUUUAACCAGGUUGACCUCGGAUCAGGUAGGGAUACCCGCUGAACUUAGGC